rnacentral:rRNA from 1 species
UGGGGAAUAUUGGACAAUGGGCGGAAGCCUGAUCCAGCAACGCCGCGUGAGGGAUGACGGCCUUCGGGUUGUAAACCUCUUUCAGCACAGACGAAGCGAAAGUGACGGUAUGUGCAGAAGAAGCACCGGCCAACUACGUGCCAGCAGCCGCGGUAAUACGUAGGGUGCGAGCGUUGUCCGGAAUUAUUGGGCGUAAAGGGCUCGUAGGCGGUUUGUCGCGUCGGGAGUGAAAACACACAGCUUAACUGUGUGCUUGCUUCCGAUACGGGCAGACUAGAGUGUGGUAGGGGAGAUCGGAAUUCCUGGUGUAGCGGUGAAAUGCGCAGAUAUCAGGAGGAACACCGGUGGCGAAGGCGGAUCUCUGGGCCAUUACUGACGCUGAGGAGCGAAAGCGUGGGGAGCGAA